AGCAGCCGCGGUAAUUCCAGCUCCAAUAGCGUAUAUUAAAGUUGUUGCAGUUAAAAAGCUCGUAGUUGAAUUUCGGGACCAAUUUGUUGGUCGUGCCUCGGUACGUACUGGUAUUAUUGGUUUCUCCCUUCUGAAGAACCAUGAUGCCAUUAAUUUGGUGUCGUGGGGAAUCAGGACUGUUACUUUGAAAAAAUUAGAGUGUUUAAAGCAGGCAUACGCUUGAAUACAUUAGCAUGGAAUAAUGAAAUAGGACGUUUGAUUCUAUUUUGUUGGUUUCUAGGAUCGACGUAAUGAUUAAUAGGGAUAGUUGGGGGCAUUAGUAUUCAAUUGUCAGAGGUGAAAUUCUUGGAUUUAUUGAAGACUAACUACUGCGAAAGCAUUUGCCAAGGAUGUUUUCAUUAAUCAAGAACGAAAGUUAGGGGAUCGAAGACGAUCAGAUACCGUCGUAGUCUUAACCAUAAACUAUGCCGACUAGGGAUCGGAUGAUGUUAAUUUUUUAAUGUACUCAUUCGGCGCCUUA
rnacentral:rRNA from 1 species